ACUGGGAGCACUGGGAGCUUUGGAGGGGUCACUGGUCCAUACUGGGAGCACUGGGAGGGGUCACCGGUCCAUACUGGGAACACUGGGAGGGGUCACUGGUCCAUGCUGGUCCAUACUGGGAGCAAUGGGAGGGGUCCCUGGUCCACACUGGUCCAUACUGGUCCAUACUGGGAGCGCUGGGGCCUCCCCAGUCCCUCCCGGGCCCCCUUUAAACCCCUCCCGAUGACGUCACCGCGCUCCCCGUGACGUCACUCCCCCGCCCUCCAAUAAAGCGCAGUUCAAACCCCG